CUGGGGGUGAGAGAGACAGGUGAGGGACAGGUGAGACAGUGAGAGAUCUCCAGAGCGUUCCUGAACACCACCUGGGCAAAAAGGGACAGUGAGAGAUCUCCAGAGCGUUCCUGAACACCACCUGGGGAUGGGAGAGACAGGUGAGGGACAGGUGAGACAGUGAGAGAUCUCCAGAACGUUCCUGAACACAACCUGGGCAAAAAGGGACAGUGAGAGAUCUCCAGAGCGUUCCUGAACACAACCUGGGCACAAAGGGACAGUGAGAGAUCUCCAGAGCGUUCCUGAACACAACCUGGGCAUGGGGGAGAGACAGGUGAGGGACAGGUGAGACAGUGAGAGAUCUCCAGAGCGUUCCUGAACACCACCUGGACAGGAGAGGGACAGUGAGAGGGGCUGGAACCUUCCUGAACACAACCUGGGCAAAAAGGGACAGUGAGAGAUCUCCAGAGCGUUCCUGAACACAACCUGGGCAAAAAGGGACAGUGAGAGAUCUCCAGAGCGUUCCUGAACACAACCUGGGCACAAAGGGACAGUGAGAGAUCUCCAGAGCGUUCCUGAACACAACCUGGGCAUGGGAGAGACAGGUGAGGGACAGUGAGAGGGGCUGGAACCUUCCUGAACACAACCUGGGCACAGAGAGGGACAGGUAAGAGAUCUCCAGAGUGUUCCUGAACACCACCUGGACAUAGGGACAGUGAGAGGGGCUGGAACCUUCCUGAACACCACCUGGGCAUGGGAGAGACAGUGAGAGAUCUCCAGAGUGUUCCUGAACACCACCUGGGCACAAAAAGGUCACAAAAUGGACCCAAAAAGAACCCAGAAUGGUCACAGAAAGGUGACAAAUGAGACACAAGGAUGGGCACCUCUGUGCACCCACCUGGAUGGCGCAGAGCCUGGCAAUGCCCUCCUGCCCUUGCACCCUGGCGCUGCCUUGCAGCUGCACCGGUGCCAUUGGGCGUUUUUACACCUCCAUUUUUCAUUAUUUAUAUUUUCCCUCUAUUUUACAUUAUUUUUCACCCCGUUUCCACUCUCUGCACCCACCUGGAUGGCGCAGAGCCUGGAGAUGCCCUCCUGCCCUUUCACCCUGGCGCUGCCUUGCAGCUGCACCGGCGCCAUUGG